ACAACCUCACCUCUUCACCGCGUUUAGGGCCUUGGCGACUUUAAUAUCUGUGAACAGAAUAAUCACCUGACUGAGGCCCUGUCUACAUUAAGCCGGAUAACUCCUUAAACAAAUAAUUAUUUAGCCUAAGUACCGUGUCAGCCACACUAACCCAUCAUUUAAGGUCCCCCUCCUUGGAUAAUUUCUUACACGGUAAGUGCGCCGUGUAUUUCUUAAAUCUCCGGCUUUUAGCUUUGUAUGGACUCAUUGGACCAAUGAGUCCAUGACAUGUGACAAUUUAGUUAGCGUGGAGUUAUAUAAAGGCUGUCCACAAUUGUCAGGCUUGUCCCUGACAGUUUGGUCAAGUUUUAGUUUUUCCUCUGUCAUUUUCUGUCAGCGCUUUCAUUUUGUCUUCAUUUCCUGAUUGUCUCCCUGAGUGCUGCUUCCCCUCAGCUGUGGCUGAUUGGCACCUGGCCACACCUGGUGUCAAUCAGCCAGCUGCUAUUUAAACCUGCCUUCCCCUCCAGUCAGUGCUGGAUUAUUGUCAUUGUCAUUAAUACUUGUUGUCACUACUACCUGUCAUUAUACUUGUCGUUGUAGCUCUGUCUACUUUUGUUCACUCUGCUCAUGUCAUAGUUCCUUCGUGUCACAGUAAGUGUUUUUGUUUCUUGUCCACAGUUAGCCUUUGUGCUAUUUUAGUUCAUAGCCAAGUUUGUUCUCCGCCUCGUGCGCGCCUUUUGUUGUUACCCUUUUGUUCGUUAUUUUGCUAUAGUGCUAAAUUAAAUCAUGUUUUCUCGCUCAAUGCCUGCCGUCAUCUCUGCAUCUUGGGGUUCGUCACCAAUAUACCCUGACAACAAUGAUAUUAUACAGACAGCGUUUCACAUCAAUUUCCUUUGGUGAAACCAACAUUAGUUACAUCAGUAUAAUUUAAUGUUAACAUUACGUUGACAGCAAAUUUCGGAUCUGAUGAUGUUUAAAGUAAAAGUGGAGUUCAUCCCGUUAUGUUGUCUGUAGUUGUAGCAGGCUGCGCAUGACCAAAGAUCUUAUAUUGAGAGAAGAUGAUCUCUAUUGCAUGGUGACGGCGUGGCGCAGUGGGAGAGUAGCCGUGCGCAACCCGAGGGUCCCUGGUUCAAUCCCCACCUAGUACCAACCUCGUCAUGUCCGUUGUGUCCUGAGCAAGACACUUCACCCUUGCUCCUGAUGGGUGCUGGUUAGCGCCUUGCAUGGCAGCUCCCUCCGUCAGUGUGUGAAUGUGUGUGUGAAUGGGUAAAUGUGGAAGUAGUGUCAAAGCGCUUUGAGUACCUUGAAGGUAGAAAAGCGCUAUACAAGUACAACCCAUUAUGUAUAGCACAGACAAUGUAAUACACAAAGUAUAUUUGCAGUCAGUCAUAUCAUCUUAUUUUUGUUACUUAAAAAAAUACCAAGGACAGGACCUCGGUGUUCUCAAUGAUAGUUAAGACCAGACAGCUAGUAAAAACUGCAUCAACAGUUGCUAGUGAAAGCUAAAUAGUGCGCUCUGUUUGUUUUCAUCUGUUUCAAGACGCGACUAAUCAACAGUCAACUCCCCACAGUCGACUGAUUAAUCGACUAAUCAGGAUACUCAUCUUAUUAAUAGUCAAAUUAUUUCUUUUUACAAUCAGAACAGAGUAUUGUUGUGUUAGCUAUAUUAUAUUAGACACCCAAAAAAGUGUCUAGAGAGAGAGAGAAACACAAAAUUCUACACAAGGGGUGUCAAACAUACGGCCCGUGGGCCGGAUCACACAGGAUGAGUUUGCUAAGUAUAAAAAAAAAAAGCGGAAUUUUUUUAAUGAAAGAAACCGCUGUUCGAAAUGCGUCCACUAGAUUUCGCAAUAGCAAUUCUUUGUAACUUUGUAGAUUAUGCUACAUAUGUAAAAAAACAAAACAAAAAAACACAUGUUAGUGCACCAGUCGAGGAAAAUGAGCAAAUUACAUAAAUAACAUCCUGUAAUGUGAUUUUGAUAUUGUUGUUUUUGUCUUGGGCAGCACGGUGGAAGAGGGGUUAGUGCGUCUGCCUCACAAUACGAAGGUGCUGAGUAGUCUGGGGUUCAAUCCCAGGCUCGGGAUCUUUCUGUGUGGAGUUUGCAUGUUCUCCCCGUGACUGCGUGGGUUCCCUCCGGGUACUCCGGCUUCCUCCCACCUCCAAAGACAUGCACCUGGGGAUAGGUUGAUUGGCAACACUAAAUUGGCCCUAGUGUGUGAAUGUGAGUGUGAAUGUUGUCUGUCUAUCUGUGUUGGCCCUGCGAUGAGGUGGCGACUUGUCCAGGGUGUACCCCGCCUUCCGCCCGAUUGUAGCUGAGAUAGGCUCCAGCGCCCCCCGCGACCCCGAGGGGAAUAAGCGGUAGAAAAUGGAUGGAUGGAUGUUUUGUCUUGAUAGAUUGAAAAUUAACACAAUGAGUUGACUGAUGAACAUUAUCACAUAAUUUAUUCAGAAUGUAUUAACCGCAACAUGCAAGUGUAAAAAAAACCAACAACAUUAUGAUUUGUACAUUUUCAGAAUGUGCUUGUUCUAUUUUUAAACAAAGAAAACAAUCUGAAGUUGUCUUUAUUUUUAAGUUAUUGUGAUUUUACCAGUCCGGCACACUGGGGAGUAGAUUUUUCUCUGUGUGGGCCCCGAUCUAAAAUGAGUUUGACACUCCUGUUCUCCACAGAUAAUUGUUAUUCAUUGAGGAAUAAAUAUUUCCAAAUGUAAAUAUAUGUGGGGGUGGGGGGGAAAUGUCUUCCUUAAACUGUCUUUUGAUAUAGAUCGUUUGGCUGUAUCCUCUUCCUCGCACAGUCAAGAGCCAGACUAAGUGGCAAAGUGGGGGUUUUCCAUGACAACGGCAACAACACAACUGAGAUGCAAAAGGUGAAGAUGCCUGUCCUCAAGAGGCUGAGACGAUAACCUAAAACACAGCGCUCUUCAUUGGAGGUGAUGGAACAACUGACAUCAGGGGAGAGGAUGAUGAAGAAGACGAAGUGUACACUACUGUCCUUCCUUAAACCCGAUGAAAAACUGCCAUUGUGGAAUUAUUUGGGACAAACAUGAGGAUCCCACAACCAAGAGUGCCAGUGGUCCUUACGAGUCCUCUCCUUCAGGUCGAACUGGAACUCCACCCCAUCCGCCCGGAAGACGGCCCAGUCCUCAGACUCCUCCUGCUCGUCCUCUUCCUUUGCCUCUUUAUUAUCCUCUUCCUCCUCGUCUGGCUUUGGAGUUUCCUCUACCACUACCAGUUCCUCGGCGAUGUUGAGCUCUACUAUCUGGUCCACGUCAUCUUCUGAAGACGGAAGCUCUGAACCCUCGGAGGCAUCCUCGGUUGUGGACUCCUCCUCCGCUUCUAUCUUCUGGACUUCUUCUUCUUCUACAUCAUGAAAAUCAAACCCGCCUCCUGUUGGGAUGCAACUGCAAGGUCCUCUACGCCAUGAUCCUGUUGCUCUUGAGCAGGGACGCCAGUUUCCAGAUCCAAAUAUACAUUGCAGGCCCUUUGAACAUGAGCUCCAUCACUCUGGAACUCUUAACCGUCUCCCCGAUGAAGCUGAUCACCUGCUGCAUGCUGAGCACCAGUUUCUCCAUGCCUUCUAGCUUCAGAGCCUGCAUCUCAGACCGCUGGUUGACCGCUGACAUAAUGGUGCUCAUUUCCUGUGCCUACAGGUUCAGCAUCCAGACGACUGAGGACCUUUUCUUGAAGGUUGAUGAGCGUGUCCAUCUUGCCGCUCAAUGACUCGAUCCGAUUUUGAAUGAGGUCAAAACCUGCAUUGUCAACUCGCUGGCCUUGCAUUGCGGUCUUC